rnacentral:rRNA from 1 species
ACAGUGGACGCGAGCAUCUGUGGCCAAGUUUUUAAGGGCGCACGGUGGAUGCCUUGGCACCAGGAACCGAUGAAGGACGUGGGAGGCCGCGAUAGGCCCCGGGGAGCUGUCAACCGAGCUUUGAUCCGGGGGUGUCCGAAUGGGGAAACCCGGCAGUCGUCAUGGGCUGUCACCCAUACCUGAACACAUAGGGUAUGUGGAGGGAACGCGGGGAAGUGAAACAUCUCAGUACCCGCAGGAAGAGAAAACAACCGUGAUUCCGGGAGUAGUGGCGAGCGAAACCGGAUGAGGCCAAACCAGUCACGUGUGAUACCCGGCAGGGGUUGCGUGGUUGGGGUUGUGGGAUCUCUUUUCUGCAGUCUGCCGGCUGUGGGACGAGUCAGAAACCGUUGAUGUAGGCGAAGGACAUGCGAAAGGUCCGGCGUAGAGGGUAAGACCCCCGUAGCUGAAACAUUGACGGCUCGUUUAAGAGACACCCAAGUAGCACGGGGCCCGAGAAAUCCCGUGUGAAUCUGGCGGGACCACCCGUUAAGCCUAAAUAUUCCCUGGUGACCGAUAGCGGAUAGUACCGUGAGGGAAUGGUGAAAAGUACCGCGGGAGCGGAGUGAAAUAGUACCUGAAACCGUGUGCCUACAAGCCGUGGGAGCGUCGCGCAAGGAACUUGUUCCUUGCGUCGUGACUGCGUGCCUUUUGAAGAAUGAGCCUGCGAGUUUGCGGUAUGUUGCGAGGUUAACCCGUGUGGGGAAGCCGUAGCGAAAGCGAGUCCGAAUAGGGCGUUGAGUAGCGUGCCCAAGACCCGAAGCGGAGUGAUCUAGCCAUGGGCAGGUUGAAGCGGAGGUAAGACUUCGUGGAGGACCGAACCCACCAGGGUUGAAAACCUGGGGGAUGACCUGUGGUUAGGGGUGAAAGGCCAAUCAAACUCCGUGAUAGCUGGUUCUCCCCGAAAUGCAUUUAGGUGCAGCGUCGUGUGUUUCUUGCCGGAGGUAGAGCACUGGAUAGGCGAUGGGCCCUACCGGGUUACUGACCUUAGCCAAACUCCGAAUGCCGGUAAGUGAGAGCGCGGCAGUGAGACUGUGGGGGAUAAGCUCCAUGGUCGAGAGGGAAACAGCCCAGAGCAUCGACUAAGGCCCCUAAGCGUGUGCUAAGUGGGAAAGGAUGUGGAGUCGCAGAGACAACCAGGAGGUUGGCUUAGAAGCAGCCACCCUUGAAAGAGUGCGUAAUAGCUCACUGGUCAAGUGAUUCCGCGCCGACAAUGUAGCGGGGCUCAAGCACACCGCCGAAGUCGUGUCAUUCAUGCAAUAGCCCUAACGGGUGUGUGGAUGGGUAGGGGAGCGUCGUGUGCCGGGUGAAGCAGCCGUGGAAACGAGUUGUGGACGGUUCACGAGUGAGAAUGCAGGCAUGAGUAGCGAUACAAGAGUGGGAAACUCUUGCGCCGAUUGACUAAGGGUUCCUGGGUCAAGCUGAUCUGCCCAGGGUAAGUCGGGACCUAAGGCGAGGCCGACAGGCGUAGUCGAUGGACAACCGGUUGAUAUUCCGGUACCCGCUUUGAAGCGCCAAACAUUGAAUCAGGCGAUGCUAAGGCCGUGAAGCCGCCCUGGAUCCUUCGGGUGAAGGGGAGUGGUGGAGCCGCUGAACCAGACUUGUAGUAGGUGAGUGAUGGGGUGACGCAGGAAGGUAGUCCAGCCCGGGCGGUGGUUGUCCCGGGGUAAGGGUGUAGCCCGAGAGAUAGGCAAAUCCGUCUCUCAUAUAAGGGUGAGACCUGAUGCCGAGCCGAUUGUGGUGAAGUGGAUGAUCCUAUGCUGUCGAGAAAAGCCUCUAGCGAGUUUCAUGGCGGCCCGUACCCUAAACCGACUCAGGUGGUCAGGUAGAGAAUACCGAGGCGUUCGGGUGAACUAUGGUUAAGGAACUCGGCAAAAUGCCCCCGUAACUUCGGGAGAAGGGGGGCCAUUGCUGGUGAGGGAACUUGCUUCCUGAGCUGGUGGUGGCCGCAGAGACCAGCGAGAAGCGACUGUUUACUAAAAACACAGGUCCGUGCGAAGCCGUAAGGCGAUGUAUACGGACUGACGCCUGCCCGGUGCUGGAACGUUAAGGGGACCGGUUAGUCACAUUUCGGUGUGGCGAAGCUGAGAACUUAAGCGCCAGUAAACGGCGGUGGUAACUAUAACCAUCCUAAGGUAGCGAAAUUCCUUGUCGGGUAAGUUCCGACCUGCACGAAUGGCGUAACGACUUCUCGACUGUCUCAACCAUAGGCCCGGUGAAAUUGCAUUACGAGUAAAGAUGCUCGUUUCGCGCAGCAGGACGGAAAGACCCCGGGACCUUUACUAUAGCUUGAUAUUGGUGUUCGGUUCGGCUUGUGUAGGAUAGGUGGGAGACUGUGAAGCAUCAACGCCAGUUGGUGUGGAGUCAUUGUUGAAAUACCACUCUGGUCGUGCUGGAUGUCUAACCUGGGUCCGUGAUCCGGAUCAGGGACAGUGUCUGGUGGGUAGUUUAACUGGGGCGGUUGCCUCCUAAAGGGUAACGGAGGCGCCCAAAGGUUCCCUCAGCCUGGUUGGCAAUCAGGUGUUGAGUGUAAGUGCACAAGGGAGCUUGACUGUGAGACUGACGGGUCGAGCAGGUACGAAAGUAGGGACUAGUGAUCCGGCGGUGGCUUGUGGAAGCGCCGUCGCUCAACGGAUAAAAGGUACCCCGGGGAUAACAGGCUGAUCUUCCCCAAGAGUCCAUAUCGACGGGAUGGUUUGGCACCUCGAUGUCGGCUCGUCGCAUCCUGGGGCUGGAGUCGGUCCCAAGGGUUGGGCUGUUCGCCCAUUAAAGCGGUACGCGAGCUGGGUUUAGAACGUCGUGAGACAGUUCGGUCCCUAUCCGCUGUGCGCGUAGGAGUCUUGAGAAGGGCUGUCCCUAGUACGAGAGGACCGGGACGGACGAACCUCUGGUGUGCCAGUUGUUCUGCCAAGGGCAUGGCUGGUUGGCUACGUUCGGAAAGGAUAACCGCUGAAAGCAUCUAAGCGGGAAGCCUGCUUCGAGAUGAGGGCUCCCUCCCACUUGAUGGGGUAAGGCUCCCAGUAGACGACUGGGUUGAUAGGCCAGAUAUGGAAGCGCCGUAAGGUGUGGAGUUGACUGGUACUAAUAGGCCGAGGGCUUGUCCUCAGUUG